rnacentral:lncRNA from 10 species
GGGAGGGAAGGCACUCUCUGUCAAGCUGCUGUCACCUUACCUGAAGUAAGGAGUCCACGCCUGCAUGUCCGAGGAAAACAGUUUUCUCAAACACAUUAGUUGAAAAACUGAAGACGCUGCCUAAAAUACAAGCUGAGUUAGAGACAGCCCUUGUAAGACUAGAUGGAAUCUCAUUCUGUAGCCUAGGCUGGAGUGCAGUGGCACAAUCUGGUCACUACAACCUCUGCCUCCCAGGUUCAAGCAAUCCUUGUGUCUCAGCCUUCCAAGUAGCUGGGAUUACAGGCAUGCACCACCACACUCAGCUAAUUUUUGUGUUUUUAGUAGAGAUAGGGUUUUGCCAUGUUGCCCAGGCUGGUCUCAAACUCCUUGACUCAAGUGACCCACCCUCAGCCUCCCAAAGUGCUGGGAGCCACCGCGUGAGCCACAGUGCCCAGUUGACAAUUUCUGCAUUAAUCCACAGAACACAUAAAAGCACUGUGGAAGUGGCAACAGGGAAGGUGAGAAGAGGAUUAUCAAAGACAUUGUGAUGAUAGAAUGGACAGGACUUGGUGAACUGAGUUGAUGCAGGCAGAAUCAUGAUAUUGUGUGAUUAAAGCCAUCUUGUGUCAUAUAAGGUGAAUAUCAUCAAGCUACUGAUAAUUGUAAAUUCUAAUAAGAUGUAUAACUCAUUUCUAAAGGACAAAUGGUGUUUAUUCAGUCAUUUGCUUAACAAAUAUUUAUUGAAUGUCUACUGUGUGUAGGAGCUGGGAAUGUAGGAAUGAAUAAAACGGGAAAUAAUGCCUGUCCUUAUGAAGUUUACAUUCUAGUGGGAGAGGUAGAC